rnacentral:rRNA from 1 species
GAUGAACGCUGGCGGCGUGCCUAAUACAUGCAAGUCGAGCGAACGGACGAGAAGCUUGCUUUUCUGAUGUUAGCGGCGGACGGGUGAGUAACACGUGGACAACCUACCUAUAAGACUGGGAUAACUUCGGGAAACCGGAGCUAAUACCGGAUAAUAUUUUGAACCGCAUGGUUCAAAAGUGAAAGACGGUCUUGCUGUCACUUAUAGAUGGAUCCGCGCUGCAUUAGCUAGUUGGUAAGGUAACGGCUUACCAAGGCAACGAUGCGUAGCCGACCUGAGAGGGUGAUCGGCCACACUGGAACUGAGACACGGUCCAGACUCCUACGAGAGGCAGCAGUAGGGAAUCUUCCGCAAUGGGCGAAAGCCUGACGGAGCAACGCCGCGUGAGUGAUGAAGGUCUUCGGAUCGUAAAACUCUGUCAUUAGGGAAGAACAUAUGUGUAAGUAACUGUGCACGUCUUGACGGUACCUAAUCAGAAAGCCACGGCUAACUACGUG